CCAAGGGGGGCAGCUACACAUGCAGUCGAGCGAACCUUCGGGUUAGCGGCGGACGGGUGAGUAACGCGUGGGAACGUACCCUCUUCUGCGGGAUAGCCACUGGAAACGGUGAGUAAUACCGCAUACGCCCUUCGGGGGAAAGAUUUAUCGGAGGAGGAUCGGCCCGCGUUGGAUUAGGUAGUUGGUGGGGUAAUGGCCUACCAAGCCUACGAUCCAUAGCUGGUUUUAGAGGAUGAUCAGCCACACUGGGACUGAGACACGGCCCAGACUCCUACGGGAGGCAGCAGUGGGGAAUCUUAGACAAUGGGCGCAAGCCUGAUCUAGCCAUGCCGCGUGAGUGACGAAGGCCUUAGGGUCGUAAAGCUCUUUCGCCAGAGAUGAUAAUGACAGUAUCUGGUAAAGAAACCCCGGCUAACUCCGUGCCAGCAGCCGCGGUAAUACGGAGGGGGUUAGCGUUGUUCGGAAUUACUGGGCGUAAAGCGCACGUAGGCGGAUUGGAAAGUUGGGGGUGAAAUCCCAGGGCUCAACCCUGGAACUGCCUCCAAAACUCCCAGUCUGGAGUUCGAGAGAGGUGAGUGGAAUUCCGAGUGUAGAGGUGAAAUUCGUAGAUAUUCGGAGGAACACCAGUGGCGAAGGCGGCUCACUGGCUCGAUACUGACG
rnacentral:rRNA from 1 species